CGCGGCCUAUCAGCUUGUUGGUGAGGUAGUGGCUCACCAAGGCUUUGACGGGUAGCCGGCCUGAGAGGGUGACCGGCCACACUGGGACUGAGACACGGCCCAGACUCCUACGGGAGGCAGCAGUGGGGAAUAUUGCACAAUGGGCGAAAGCCUGAUGCAGCGACGCCGCGUGAGGGAUGACGGCCUUCGGGUUGUAAACCUCUUUCAGUAGGGACGAAGCGAGAGUGACGGUACCUGCAGAAGAAGCACCGGCUAACUACGUGCCAGCAGCCGCGGUAAUACGUAGGGUGCGAGCGUUGUCCGGAAUUAUUGGGCGUAAAGAGCUUGUAGGCGGUUUGUCGCGUCUGCUGUGAAAGACCGGGGCUUAACUCCGGUUCUGCAGUGGGUACGGGCAGGCUAGAGUAUGGUAGGGGAGACUGGAAUUCCUGGUGUAGCGGUGAAAUGCGCAGAUAUCAGGAGGAACACCGAUGGCGUAGGCGGGUCUCUGGGCCGAUACUGACGCUGAGGAGCGAAAGCGUGGGGAGCGAACAGGAUUAGAUACCCUGGUAGUCCACGCCGUAAACGGUGGGCGCUAGGUGUGGGGGCCAUUCCACGGUCUCUGUGCCGCAGCUAACGCAUUAAGCGCCCCGCCUGGGGGAGUAC
rnacentral:rRNA from 1 species